rnacentral:rRNA from 1 species
AUUGAACGCUGGCGGCAGGCCUAACACAUGCAAGUCGAGCGGAUGAAGGGAGCUUGCUCCUGGAUUCAGCGGCGGACGGGUGAGUAAUGCCUAGGAAUCUGCCUGGUAGUGGGGGAUAACGUCCGGAAACGGGCGCUAAUACCGCAUACGUCCUGAGGGAGAAAGUGGGGGAUCUUCGGACCUCACGCUAUCAGAUGAGCCUAGGUCGGAUUAGCUAGUUGGUGGGGUAAAGUCCUACCAAGGCGACGAUCCGUAACUGGUCUGAGAGGAUGAUCAGUCACACUGGAACUGAGACACGGUCCAGACUCCUACGGGAGGCAGCAGUGGGGAAUAUUGGACAAUGGGCGAAAGCCUGAUCCAGCAAUGCCGCAUGUGUGAAGAAGGUCUUCGGAUUGUAAAGCACUUUAAAUUGGGAGGAAGGGAAGUAAGUUAAUACCUUGCUGUUUUGACGUUACCAACAGAAUAAGCACCGGCUAACUUCGUG